AGCAGCCGCGGUAAUUCCAGCUCCAAUAGCGUAUAUUAAAGUUGUUGCAGUUAAAAAGCUCGUAGUUGAAUUUCGGGAUCAAGUCGUCGGUCGUGCCUCGGUACGCACUGGUGACAUUGGUUUCUCCCUUCUGAAGAACCUUGAUGUCAUUAAUUUGGUGUCUUGGGGAAUCAGGACUGUUACUUUGAAAAAAUUAGAGUGUUUAAAGCAAGCCCACGCUUGAAUACAUUAGCAUGGAAUAAUGAAAUAGGACGUUUGAUUCUAUUUUGUUGGUUUCUAGGAUCGACGUAAUGAUUAAUAGGGAUAGUUGGGGGCAUUAGUAUUCAAUUGUCAGAGGUGAAAUUCUUGGAUUUAUUGAAGACUAACUACUGCGAAAGCAUUUGCCAAGGAUGUUUUCAUUAAUCAAGAACGAAAGUUAGGGGAUCGAAGACGAUCAGAUACCGUCGUAGU
rnacentral:rRNA from 1 species